CACAGCCCUGCAGAAGAACCAACUGAAAAAAAAAAUUCUCAGGCUUUACAGCAAGCAAACUUCACUAUGAUUUUUACAAUUCUGAUUCUGUAUCCCUGGGGGGGUGUUCCAGUCGCUUCUUUAGGAUGGGGUUUAUUAUGUUGUACAUAUAUUCCAAUGUGUCUGUGUGAAUCUUUGUCUUUUUUGGGGGAGGGCGGAGGGCGGUUCUUUUUUUAGAUAUUGUUCCUAAAAAGGAAUAAAUGCAUACACCUGUUUGUCAAAACACCUUUGCUUUUUGUGCAACUGCUUUAUAUUAACGAUACUAAAAAAAAAAAAAUAGCUUUGGAAAAAAACUACUGUAUGUAAUGGGAUUGCAGAAUAUGCUGCACAUGUAUUUUAUUUAGUUAUCCUUGCUUUAAGAAUAUUGGAUGACAUUUCCUGACAUGUGGGAGGGAGAAGUUCCCUAACCUUUUUUUUUUUUUUUUUUUGGCUUUUAAAUUGUAACAUAGUUGACAGAUUUUUUUUUUUCUGUUCUCAUUGAUCAGAGCAUUUUGUACAGAUUUGUGUGUGUGUGUGUAUGUGUGUGCGCGGGUAUGUGUGUUAAUCUGUUUUUUGAUACAUUCCUAUCCCUUGUGUUUAUCCUACCACUGCCUUCCUGGCUAUCUUAAACCAGUUCAUACAUUUGAAAAGAGAAAAAAAAAUGCUGUUUUAAAAAAUGUUUUCUCCUGCUGCAGUAAAUAUUUUGCAUGAUGAAAUGCCAGGGUCACACUUUCAAAGUUUAUCAGUGAAGUAGUGAUUAAUAAUGGGGAGUUGUCAAAGCUAUUGAACUUUUUGUAUAAAAAAAAAAAAAAGAAAACUUUACAAAGGUGCCAAGAUGUAAAGACAAUUUGUUACUUUUUUUUUUUUUUUUUUUCAAAGAAAAGCAUACAUGAGGGAGUUAGUCCCUUGUAUCAGGCAAAUGCACUGUCAGGAAUGAGAAUCCAUCCUCCUUGUCCCUAGAGUCUGUCCUUGUAAGAGAGUGACACUGCCUGCAGUGAACCAGCAGUGAAAUGAAGCAUCAAGGCUUCUGUAUGUGGAAGAGUGACCGCCAGCCUCCCCACCUUCGGACAGCUCUGCCUCGAUUUCCAGCAUCCCAUCAGACCCAGUAAAGAAUACCUUGGAUUCUUCACCCCAAAUCUGAUUGAUGGAAAUCACUAGCUAUUUUAUCAUGAAAAAAAAAA
rnacentral:lncRNA from 1 species